AGGUAAAUCCGGUUCACUUUAACACUGAGGCGUGACGACGAGGCACUACGGUGCUGAAGCAACAAAUGCCCUGCUUCCAGGAAAAGCCUCUAAGCAUCAGGUAACAUCAAAUCGUACCCCAAACCGACACAGGUGGUCAGGUAGAGAAUACCAAGGCGCUUGAGAGAACUCGGGUGAAGGAACUAGGCAAAAUGGUGCCGUAACUUCGGGAGAAGGCACGCUGACACGUAGGUGAAGUGAUUUACUCAUGGAGCUGAAGUCAGUCGAAGAUACCAGCUGGCUGCAACUGUUUAUUAAAAACACAGCACUGUGCAAACACGAAAGUGGACGUAUACGGUGUGACGCCUGCCCGGUGCCGGAAGGUUAAUUGAUGGGGUCAGCGCAAGCGAAGCUCCUGAUCGAAGCCCCGGUAAACGGCGGCCGUAACUAUAACGGUCCUAAGGUAGCGAAAUUCCUUGUCGGGUAAGUUCCGACCUGCACGAAUGGCGUAAUGAUGGCCAGGCUGUCUCCACCCGAGACUCAGUGAAAUUGAACUCGCUGUGAAGAUGCAGUGUACCCGCGGCAAGACGGAAAGACCCCGUGAACCUUUACUAUAGCUUGACACUGAACAUUGAGCCUUGAUGUGUAGGAUAGGUGGGAGGCUUUGAAGCGUGGACGCCAGUCUGCGUGGAGCCGACCUUGAAAUACCACCCUUUAAUGUUUGAUGUUCUAACGUGGACCCGUAAUCCGGGUUGCGGACAGUGUCUGGUGGGUAGUUUGACUGGGGCGGUCUCCUCCUAAAGAGUAACGGAGGAGCACGAAGGUUGGCUAAUCCUGGUCGGACAUCAGGAGGUUAGUGCAAUGGCAUAAGCCAGCUUGACUGCGAGCGUGACGGCGCGAGCAGGUGCGAAAGCAGGUCAUAGUGAUCCGGUGGUUCUGAAUGGAAGGGCCAUCGCUCAACGGAUAAAAGGUACUCCGGGGAUAACAGGCUGAUACCGCCCAAGAGUUCAUAUCGACGGCGGUGUUUGGCACCUCGAUGUCGGCUCAUCACAUCCUGGGGCUGAAGUAGGUCCCAAGGGUAUGGCUGUUCGCCAUUUAAAGUGGUACGCGAGCUGGGUUUAGAACGUCGUGAGACAGUUCGGUCCCUAUCUGCCGUGGGCGCUGGAGAACUGAGGGGGGCUGCUCCUAGUACGAGAGGACCGGAGUGGACGCAUCACUGGUGUUCGGGUUGUCAUGCC
rnacentral:rRNA from 1 species